CACCCUGUUUCCAGGGAGAGGGUGAGGCGGGCUGACCAGCCACGUGUCCUGUCUGCUGGCCACGGGCUUGGGUCCUGGCUCUGCUGUGUCCAUCCGUGUGCCUGGAGCAGGUCACCCACCUCCCUGGGCCUCAGUUUUCUCAGCUGUAAAAUGAGCUCAUCACGGGACACGUGCUAAAUACGGGACGGUUCAGAGGAUUGACUGAGGAGGCAAAAUCCUGUCUUGGCCCUUGUUGGUUUUGUUUAUGGCCCGUGCCUCUCAUUCUACCCUUAUUUCCCUUGUUUGUUUAUUUGGGGGAUUCCCCAUCUUCUUCACCUGAGCUGCAGCCCCCCCGGAGGUGGGGACCACGUCUGUCCCGAAACCAGCUGUCUUCCCAGGUCGCUUGGGGCCAGGCACACAGCGGGCGCUCGAGGCUUCAGGCUGAUGUGGGGACAAGGCAGGAGGGAGAGCAUCUCCCAGUGGACCUGAAAGGAAGGAACUAGCUUGUGCUUUUUGAUGUCGAUAUCAUCACCCCGGUGUUAAAGAAGAGGAAACUGCAACCCAGAGAGGUUUUGUGCAUUGCCUGAAGCCACAAACACAGAGAAGUUAGCAGUCCAGUGACUUCAACCCUCUCCUGGCUACAAAGCUCCUGGAAAGCUCGUGGGAGUUAAAGGAGACGCUGUUGGGAAGCGCUAUGCACUGAUGUCGACCACGCCUUCCUCCGCCCUGCCACACAGUGUCCUGCCCAUGCCAUCCCUCUGCAGUGCCAAUUAAACGAGGACUGAUUAUAAAGGAGUGCAUUUAGACACCGCAGGAGAAAGCUGGUCCGGGAACAUUCGCACGGCAGUCGAGAGACGCUAGAGCCAGCCCCAGCGCAUCACAGCGGUGUUACCUCUUGCAAUUUCCACUGCCCAGAGCAGGUCCUAUGGGGAAGCCAUCUGUUUUCUUUCAAGAGGUAGGACAGGCUGCCCACCCACCGUACUGCAA